rnacentral:rRNA from 1 species
AAUGAACGUUGGCGGCGUGGAUUAGGCAUGCAAGUCGAGCGCUCAUAGCAAUAUGGGAGCGGCGAACGGCGUAGUAAGACGUAGGAACGUACCCUCGGGUCGGGAUAGCUAUGGGAAACUGUAGGUAAUACCCGAUAAUCUCUGCGGAGCAAAGGUGUGAUUCCGCCUGAGGAGCGGCUUACGCGAUAUUAGCUAGUUGGUGGGGUAAUGGCCUACCAAGGCGAUGAUGUCUAGGGGGUNUGAGAGCAUGGCCCCCCACGACCGGAACUGAGAUACUGUCCGGACACCUACGGGUGGCUGCAGUCGAGAAUCUUCCGCAAUGGACGAAAGUCUGACGGAGCGACGCCGCGUGCGGGAUGAAGGCCCUUGGGUUGUAAACCGCUGUCAGAGGGGAUGAAAUCUUCGGAGGUACUCCUCCGAAGUUGACAGAGCCUCAAAGGAAGCACGGGCUAAGUACGUGCCAGCAGCCG